AUGAAAAGUCAAUGAUAAAAAAACUGUUGAAUAUUCUAUUAGCAGCCUCCAAGAAAUCUAUUUCUAGGUAAUGGCUUUAAAAAAAAUCAACUGUUGAGGAAUGGAUAGAUAUUGUACAUGAAAUUUACAUCAUGGAGAAGCUGUCAUUUUAACUUAAAUUAGAGAUUGAUACAUUUUAUUUGAUAUGGUCCAACUGGACAAACGUGAAACCAAUUAGAAUAGAUUUCAAUUGAUGCUCAACAGAGAAAGUAGCUCCUUACUUUUUCGGGGGUAAGAAAACAAUAUCAGAUGUGCUCCCAAAUCUUUUAAGUUGCUGUAUGUUGUUUAUUUAUGUACUUUUUAAUUAAUUUAUUAUUUAUUUAAUUUCUUUUUUGUUGUUGUUUCCGUUAAAAAAGUAAUGUAUCGAGAAAUGGACUAUCGUCAUUCACUGUUGUAAGUACAAUGUACAGUAUAUUAUUGUUGAGAAUCUAAAUGAAAUUAAAAAAGAAAAAAAAAAGAAUUGAAACAGGUAAUAAAAUUAUACUUAAAAUGAAUAAAAAGCAAAUUGCUUGAAAGUUAAAAUAUAUAGACCGUUAUGGAUAUGCUGUGAUAAACAAAAGCGAUUUUAGUCCUGAUUUAAAAGGAGCUAACAGUUUGAGCACACUUCAGACCUUCAGGUAACUUGUUUCAGAGGUGAGGAGCAUAAUACUAAAUGCUACCUCACCCUGCUUGGUUCUUGUUCUUGGAACAUACAACAGAUCGGUUCCAGACUACCUUAGAGGUCUCUAUGAUUCUUUUGGUCCAAGGCCAUGAAAGCGUUUUAUAGACGAGCAGUAUCAAUUUCUAGUCUAUCCUUUGACUCACUGGAAGCCAGUGUAAUGAUUUCCAAAACUGGUGUAAUGUGGUCCAGUUUCCUUGUACUGUAUUUGUAAGGACUCUGGCAGCAGCAUUCUGUACUAGCUGCAGCGUCCUGACUGACUGACUGAUUUAAAAAAAAAAAUUUUUUUUAAAUCAAGACCUGUAAAUAUACUGCUGCAAUAGUCCAAUCUUCUGAAAAUGAACCGCACAAUCAAACUUAUCUGUAUCCUCUAUAAAGGAGCAAUAUUCAUGCUUUACUGGUGUCAGAAAUGGAGCUGCAGGGUCAAUGAAGUUGGGGAUGACGGGAUAAAAAGGCAUAGAUAGUUCAUAAAUAUGAUUUUACAUAUAGAAGUGCACAAAAUAUGGUAUGCAACUUAUUCAGAAUGAAAAGGGUUAUAGUAAUUGAAUAAUUAUAAAGUAUAUUAUAUAUGAAGAGAUAGUUAUUAUAUAUAAAGAGAAAUUGAUUAACAUAUAGUUAGAAAAAAAUCAAUAAUCGUAAUGAAAACGAUCACGGUGGUACAUUUACAAACCGGUAGGUACAAAAUGCACAAAGGAAAACUCUUACUGAUGUGUAAUAAUGUUACCCUUCUAAAAUUGUUAUUAUGAUGGUAUUAUAAGGUAAUUAAAUUUCAUAAAAACGAAAUAAUAUGAUAUUGAAUUAAUGAUGAUGUAAACAUUUCAGUUAGCUUAAAUUAAAAUGAAAACAAGGCUUUAAAAACUCCAAGAACUGAAAAUGUAUUGUAUAUUAAUGAAGCCAAAUAAACUCAACUUAUGAAUAUCUUUUUUAAAGAUUUUUAAAAAUUUUUAUUUUUAUUAGCCUUAUGUAGUCAUGCGUAUAUAAACAACAUUUUUGUAAAUUCAUUCUUACUUAAAAUGCAGCUGAAACCACUCAGCGUUGACCGGCGCUGCAGCGCUGUUUUCUUCAUGCACUGUCAAGCUGUAUGUGGCGCGAAACACUGUGAACUUUCAACCCUGAAGAUAAUGCAGACCUAACGUCUACAUUGGAAGAAAGCGCCAUCAGUCACAAAUGCUGCUUCGUCAUUGGUUAACUUAUAAGGGGGAGGCUGACCUAACGACGUCAAGUCGUACUCAUGAAGUUGGUGUCAGGAGGAAUGGAGGAAGAAACCGUUUCAGGACAAAAAAGAGGAUUGAAUGGCCCAGCAGGACAUAAUAAAAAAGAGAUGCUGAAAAGAGCGCGAUACCCACCGAAGAAGAUGAGCUUUUAUGACCCAGACCCUGACUCACCCAGAGAUGACCAAGCUUACACCAUGCGCUGCAGUACGCUGGAUAAGAUGGACACCAGUCGAAAAAAGCCUUGAUCCACAAAUGUCGCAUGAGGGGUACAACAUAAAUUCUAGAUGUAUUUAGACAUUUGUUGCAGUGUUCAAAGCCCUAAUACUGCUGGGCUUAGAGACUUAAUUUUUGUUUGCUGUCUUAAAAACUGUGUUGAACUUUGUUGUUAAUAUUAUGGCUGUUGAUGUUAUUAUAGCUAUUUGAAAUGUUGUAAAUUGUUUGCACUUUGUUUUUGGUUGGUGUUAAUUAAAAAAUGUUUGCCCGCCUGUCUGCCUUGCCUCCAUUUGCCUGCGUUUGGGUCCGCACCACUUGCCCGCCCACAUUCUUUGACAAAAAUUCUCAACAGUACUCAAUUUUCAAGUACAAUGACUGUGUUGGAUUUCACUGAAGCCAUUUGUUCUAGAAUGAUCAAGCCUGAUGGCUUUGGGUGUAUCUUCUGUAUCCCUCUGUCAUGCAGUGGCGAGAGAGUAGUGUCCACCAUUGUUUCUUUGGUCCAUCAAGAUGUUAUGAAGUGGAUGAUCUGUGUUUAGAAUGGUGAAUCCAGUCAGGUGGGAGGAGAGGGUCACAUGAUUUAAGUGUCUCGUGUGUGCGUGCGCGCAGACGCGCGCGCAUGAGAGGGAGAGUGAGCGAGAGACCCGUAUAUUUCUCCAUAGUAGCUCCAAUAAUGCUCAUUUUCUUUUUCAAAGGAGAAAAAGGAGCCAUUAAAAACACUGAAUUGAGAUUAGCAAGGUAUCUCCCUUAAGUCUCAAGUAUGAUUCCCUCUAAUUUAUUGUCUCACCUAUUUCUCCUAGUGAAUUUUAGGAGAAACAUCUGAGAAACAUUUUAGACAAAAUAGAAACUGCAAUGAGGCUAAGAUGAGAAUCUCAAAUUUAUCUCCCGAGCUAUAGAAGAGCAAGCUUUGAGCAAUAAAAUUUUCC